rnacentral:tRNA from 1 species
GGGCUUGUGGUGAAAUUGGCAGACACGCCUGCCUCAAGAGCAGGUGGCCGCAAGGUCGUGAGGGUUCGAGUCCCUCCUUGCCCACCA